rnacentral:misc_RNA from 1 species
GAUGAAGAACGCAGUGAAAUGCGAUACGUAAUGUGAAUUGCAGAAUUCAGUGAAUCAUCGAGUCUUUGAACGCACAUUGCGCCCCCUGGUAUUCCGGGGGGCAUGCCUGUCCGAGCGUCAUUGCUGCCCUCAAGCACGGCUUGUGUGUUGGGCCUCCGUCCUCCUCCCGGGGGACGGGCCCGAAAGGCAGCGGCGGCACCGCGUCCGGUCCUCGAGCGUAUGGGGCUUCGUCACCCGCUCUUGUAGGCCCGGCCGGCGCUUGCCGACACAUCAAUCUUUUUUCCAGGUUGACCUCGGAUCAGGUAGGGAUACCCGCUGAACUUAAGCAUAUCAAUAACGGAGGA